rnacentral:rRNA from 1 species
AGCAGCCGCGGUAAUUCCAGCCCUUUAGCGUAUAUUAAAGUUGUUGCAGUUAAAAAGCUCGUAGUUGAAUUUCGGGGUCAGUAGGUCGGUCGUGCCACUGGUAUGAACUGGUUUUACUGAUUCCUCCCUCUUGAAGAACUGUAAUGCCAUUAAUUUGGUGUUGCAGGGAAUCAGGACUGUUACUUUGAAAAAAUUAGAGUGUUUAAAGCAGGCUUUAGCUUGAAUACAUUAGCAUGGAAUAAUGAAAUAGGACGUUUGAUCCUACUUUGUUGGUUUCUAGGAUUGACGUAAUGAUUAAUAGGGAUAGUUGGGGGCAUUAGUAUUCAAUUGUCAGAGGUGAAAUUCUUGGAUUUAUUGAAGACUAACUACUGCGAAAGCAUUUGCCAAGGAUGUUUUCAUUAAUCAAGAACGAAAGUUAGGGGAUCGAAGACGAUCAGAUACCGUCGUAGUCUUAACCAUUAACUAUGCCGACUAGGGAUUCGGAUGAUGUUUAAUUUUUUAAUGACUCA